ACGGAAUAGAUACCCAGGUAGUCCACGCCCUAAACGAUGUAUGCUUGGUGUUGGGAAGCAAUUCUCAGUGCCGAAAGGAAAACCCAUUAAGCAUACCACCUGGGGAGUACGAUCGCAAGGUUGAAACUCAAAGGAAUUGACGGGGGCCCGCACAAGCGGUGGAUCAUGUGGUUUAAAUUCGAUGCAACGCGAAGAACCUUACCUGGGCUCGAAAUGUAGGUAGUAGGACCCUGAAAGGGGAACGAUGGGUUAAGUCCCAAGCCUAUAUAGGUGCUGCAUGGCUGUCGUCAGCUCGUGCCGUGAGGUGUUGGGUUAAGUCCCGCAACGAGCG
rnacentral:rRNA from 1 species